AGACUGCUUAGGAGAAAGAUAUCCGCUCAGCUGCUGUGGAAAUGGGGGGUGUUCCUGUCCGCCAGCCUUGCGGUUCGUAUCGAGUACCUCCCCAGAGAAAAGCAGCCACUGUCAUCUGGAAGCUGGCCUCGUACUAUCAGCUAGGCCUUGAUGUUCAGUUGAAAACUCGAAAUAAUUCCACAAAACAUCGACAUCAGACAAGGCAACUCUAUGACUAUGAUAGAUCAAGAUAAAAACAAGAUCAUGUCUAAGCACAGACAAAAAUACAUAAAGCAUCACAAGGCAAUUCAAAAACUGCUGCUGAUAGCAAAUCAAGGUCUCGUGUCCUCACUGGAAGCUGGGCAGACUGUGAGCGUGACCCCUAAAUGAUGCCAGCUUCUUUGAUCUGCAAAACAACAUGUGGCUUUGUUGAGGAGUUUUCUAGAACCCAUAAUAUAGCACAGUGAAAAGAGCAUUGUACUUAGACUGUGUGUUCUUGGUCAUCAUUUCACUUUUCUUUGCCUUUGUUUAUUCAUCAUAAAAUGAAGGGGAGGGACUAGGUGGUCCCUAAGAUCCCUUCCGGUUUUAAAAUCUGUAGUCCUGUGAUUCGCUGUAAAAGCAGCAGAAACCAGUAACUGCUUUCUGCUGUAGCCUCCCUGUGGGAAGUUUCCAUCUAGUAGGAAUCAUCUUCCUGGUGCAGGCUGAUACAAGACUUUGAUUCUCUCCAAGCUGUCUAUGAACCCACAGUGCUCCUCUGAGUCCACAAAACCGCUUAUAAUCCACACGGUCGUGAUAUGGGCAAUCUUCCCACACACAGUUACUGCAUCCAGUGGUUUGCAAAUGACAGCCUCAAGGAUUUUGCCAAGCUUGCAGGGAACUGAAGUCGGAAUUUCUCCUAAUGAAUUGGAAACGGACCCAAGCAUCCAGUGCCCUUGUUGCCUGCCUGCUCCAAUACUUAUUUAAAUGCCCAAAUAUGAAUAAAUUUGUAAUAAUGCUAAGCAAACACGCGACUCCCACCCUCUGGGAGUGCCCAUUUUCAAAAAUAUAAUUUUGGGUAGCUUUGGAAGUGUGAGACAGCUGUGUAAAUACCAAACACAAAAACAACAGCCAAAAAAGCCCCCCUGCCAAAAACAAACAAACAAAAAAGAAGCACUUUCUGUCUUUUCUGUGGGGGAUGAGGCAUCAUCCACAUACUAAAUCAAUAU